AUUGAACGCUGGCGGCAGGCCUAACACAUGCAAGUCGAACGAGUGGCGGACGGGUGAGUAAUGUCUGGGAAACUGCCUGAUGGAGGGGGCUAACUACUGGAAACGGUAGCUAAUCCUGCAUCCAGUCGGGUGUGACCAGAUGGGAUUAGAUAGCAGGUGGGGUAAAGGCUCACCUAGGCGACGAUCCCUAGCUGGUCUGAGAGGAUGACCGGCCACACUGGAACUGAGACACGGUCCAGACUCCUACGUGAGGCAGCAGUGGGGAAUAUUGCACAAUGGGCGCAAGCCUGAUGCAGCCAUGCCGCGUGUAUGAAGAAGGCCUUCGGGUUGUAAAGUACUUUCAGCGGAGAGGCGUUACCCGCAGAAGAAGCACCGGCUAACUCCGUGCCAGCAGCCGCGGUAAUUC
rnacentral:rRNA from 1 species